rnacentral:lncRNA from 1 species
UGAACAUCAAAAUGUUUAUAUGUUGGAAACAAGGCUCCAUUGCCUCACACAUUCUAAAGCAUCUGACCUGAUGGGUUACGUUGCAGUUAAAGUCAUCCAGUGAUGUACUAUGGAUCUGUCUGCCUAUUCACCUGCUGUUCCCAGACAACACCUGUAGCUGGUGGAUGAUUUCCAUGGAAUCUGGCAAGAAUUUUUGUCCAGAGAGGAGCAGCAAGACAAGAUAUUUGUGAUUUCAAAUCACUUUCUGCAGUGAGAAAACACCUACAUGAGCCCCUGAACAGGGAUUCCCUCCCAGCACCCUGCAUCUCAUGUAACUGCAACUUCAUUCUGGAGUCAGCUGAUACACAAAAUCACACAGAGGAUGACUGAUGUGACCCUAAUCCAGCUGUAGUCAGUGAGAUCUUCCUUGACUUCUCUUCUCUUGAGGUCUGAGGCUUUGUAUUGAAUGAGCUGCUUCACUCAGGAUGCUGAAAACCACCUCCAAAUACUGAAAUAUGGUCCCUCCUGGAAGCUCAUGUCUGCUGGUUUGAGCCAUCUUCUGUGAAAUGCUACUGAUCACAAGGGUGAUCAGCACACGUGACAAGGGUGAUGCUAGGACAGCUUUACAGGGCUAAGAUGGAACUAAUUACUGCCAUCAGAAACCAAAGUAAUAUUUAACUUGACAUUUGAUGGUAGCACAACUGAACUCUGCUUCCUCAAGCUUAUGUAAAGUUUCCUUGAUCAUGAAGUUACCAGUUUUAUGCUGUUGUUCCAAUCAUCCCUGAGAAUCUGUAAUCUUCAAGCCCAUCAGCCAUAG